ensembl:lncRNA
GUAUCAGGCGAAGAAUCAGUUGUGUGGGAGAAGCCUAUUGUGUUUUGUUCUUUGCAGUCUGGGGAAAAGCCUGCUUGUUUUCAUGCAGAAGGCCGGGAUUUUUGAGCUACAAAGAGAAAGGCAUUGAAAUCAAAUCACCGCCAGGAUUCGAAAUUGUCACCAAACACCCAAAGCUGUUGCUUUCAGAUUGAGGGUGAGAGCCUCUCCCUGUCAGUCAAGCAGGCUGUUCCCAAGGUUUCGGAAACUUGUGACUCCAAAAAGAGUCAUGAACAUAGCAGACUGUCGCCAACCAGAUCUGAUUCCCAGAGCUGUGGGGAAAUGGCAUUGCCAUUUGUGUCACUGAAUGAUCUUAAUUCAAAGAGAAUGGAAAUAAGUAGUAAACAAGCUAACUGUAAUAAAAAUAUACUUGCAAGUUAAAUUGUUGGUAAUAAGAACAUAUAUAAACAUAUUUAUAUAGUAGAGGUUUCCAGGUACUGUCGACAAUACAAGGUGUGUGUUCAAGUAAAAUGCUUCAGAAAAACUCUUUUAGAGGAAAUUAUUCCUUGAUAAGUAAUUGGUACAUCCCCACACUCCCAAUUAUCCCCUCUAGUUACCAGAAGCAUAGGCAGGGCAAAUACCACUGAAAUUAGAUGACUUGGGAGAAGAGGGACACAGUACUUAGAAGAUAGGUUUGUUCUGUGGACACACAGAGUUCUAUAUCUGUUCUAAUCUGAUAUAGAGACAUUUGGGCAGCAAAACAAAACUAUCACACUAUUUUACUGUUUGUUGGUGCCUCUUUCUGGUAGAAUCUUCUGCAAACAGCAGGGGACAGCAUCUUGUAAUCAGAAAUCCAAAAUAGCAAAUAGAGUAAGUUGGCUUCAGUAAGUUGGCUUAAAAUUAAAGAAAAAGUGGAUGUGUCUACUGUGUUUAUUAAUUAGAUUUAACAGACUAUAGGCUACUCUAUUGAAGUACAGUACAUUCUGUUACAAGUCCUAGAAAUAGAUGUUACUUUUUACUUUCAAGACUAUUAAACAGGGAUCAGAGUAUCCUGUGGAAUAUUUGUGUCAAACUUGCAUCUAUAGUCACACAUAACGGUGCAUGAACUAACUUCAUUAAAUUAACUUAUUUUUUGUAAACUACUUUGACAUUAAAAUACCAUGGUAGGAAGAACUUACUACAGGUGUUAUACUAGCUACUAUUCCAAGGAUCUUGUAUUUCAGAGCUAGAGGAUCUACUAAUCAUCAUCUGUUCUCUAUUUCUUGCUAUAUAGAUGAUGAUCCUAAAGUCCAAAUAGAAUUUCAAGUUUCUGCUUUUUUUUUCAAGGUAUCCCCUCUUUGAUAGAUCUCCACUAAUUCCUCACCCCCUUAGAGUCUUAGUUUCCUGUGUUUUCACACUUUUUAAAAUUUGUACUAAUAACUAGCAUUUAAUAAGAGUUUACAAAUGUCACACAAACACAAAUUUAUAUAUGCUACUUAUGUAUGUUUCCAAUCCUCCUAACACUUUUGUGAAGCAAGUACUAUUACAAUUUUAUAGAUUAUAAAAUUGAUGUUGAGGUUAAAUAAGAGCAAUCAGGAUGUAUCAAACAAAACUUUAACUGAGGCUAUUUCCUUUCCUUGGUUAUUGUGAAUAGUGCUGCAAUAAGUGUCCAUCAACUCACGAGUGAGUAAAGAAUGUAAGAUACAUAUACACAGUGGCGUACUAAAAUCUGCUAUAAAAAAGAAUGAAAGAAUGGAUAGUAAGGCAGAUUUUUAUAUUUGAUAAAAUAAACUGAGCACAGAGAGACA